CACCAAAGGGAUGCCCAUUUCUUAGGAAUGUUGUAUGAGGGGUUCAGGUGUGGGUGGGAUGACAUCAUGGCUCACGUCAAUCAGGCCAAUCCGGGAGACUGGGGAUAAAAGCUGACAUUUACACACAAAUGUCUGGCAUGCAUGAACUCAUCCGAGCCCACCGGAAGCCCCACUAGGUCAUAGUCAUACACUUGCCUGUGGCCAAGAAGUCGCUAGAUGCCAGAGGCAGAAUCCAAAUCCUGCUAUUCCUUACUCCCAGCUCAGCCAAUGAACCAGAUGCCCAUGCCUCUCUAGUACAAAGGCGAUGCAGCCCCCGACAGAGCAACACACCGGAGUCAGCAAAUUGGCAAGGAUGACAAAGGAUAAGGAGAUCAAUGCUGGAGGGGUGGUGGCAAGAGAAGCACGCCAUGACACCACUGAUGAACCUUUGACUCAACCCGAAUAUUCUCAACAGCAGUUUGGAAUAAUGCUAAGAAAGUGACUAAAUUGUCCAAACCCUUCGACUAAAAGAUCCUAUAUCUAGGGAUCCCAGGUAUAUACGCCAGUUGGGUCGAAUCCAGAAGACAAGGUCUGCAGGAGUGCUUUUUUUUUUCAAGAAUGGGUAUCAGAUUGCAUGCCAUCUUGGGGAAGGGGGAGAGAAA